rnacentral:rRNA from 1 species
GCUUACGGCCACACCGCCUGGUAUACGCUUGAUCUCGGAAGAUAAGAUAGGUUGGGCCUGGUUAGUACUUUGAUGGGAGACCGCCUGGGAAUACCAGGUGCUGUAAGCU